UUAUAUCCUUUUUCCAAAUUACAGCAGCAGAAAACAUUUACCCUCAGUCCAACUUUCCCUCAAAUUCAGCAUCCCAAAUUCCGAAACCGCCCCAGCUGACCCAAUGUUUAAAAUUCCCAUUUAAAUGCAAUUCUCAACCCAUCUCGCCGCCCAAUCCCGUCCAGCCCAAUUUAAAUUCAGCCGACCCGGCCCAACCCCCAUUUUAUCUCCUUCACCAAAAGAAACCCAGAGCAUCCACCUCCUCAACGCGUGCAACGGCACAAAAUCCAAACGACCUCUGUAUGUCGUUCUCCUUUUUCCUUAGCGUGCUUCUGAGUCUAGCGGCUUUUCCCAGAAAACGCGUCAGAACAGCAGUACAACGCCGUCUUCACGACGUUUAGCUAUACGACAGAACAACGGGAAAAUUCGGAGGGACGAUUCACGGCGUUUACAUACGUCCUUGUCUGCGUCUCCCUCGUUCCGUACGACAUAGCAGUGCCGUUUCAAAAGCCUGUACAUUCGUCCUUGCUCGCGUGGAUGGGCGACACGUUGCUUUGCAAGAACGGAUAAGUCGAUCCGAACCAUCAAUCCGCCUUUUCCCCUUUAGGAUAAGUUCGAAUGUUUAGAAAAUUUAGAGUCCUAUUUUGGGUAAGGAUGGGAUUUUCAAAUUUUGAACGGUUUGGAGGGUCGACUGGGGAUUUCACAAGAAAUUCAAAACCUUAAUCUCGCCCUAUAUAUAUCUCUUUAACCUUUUGUAGAAAAAAUGUUUACUCUUCAUUAAAGGGGAUAGAGAAAGCAAAGGAGUUGGGAAUUUGAAUUUUUGAUAAAGUUUUGAAUAGUAAUACAACAAAGACGACACCAAGGCAAAAAUAUAGUUCAAUACCCACAAAACGUAUAUAAAGGGGCUAGAGGAGAACUGAUUUAGGUGUUGGUUUCCAUAUGUUGUUCGGAUUUUCCUUAUCGUUGCUCGAGCCGGAGUCUCUUUGGUGGUCGUGGAAGUUGCUGCUUGUUCUGCUCGUCAUUCCAGUGUCGCUGCUCAUAAAAAGAGCCAUAAAGGCUAAAAGUUUCUUAUCAAGUCAAUCCCCCAUAAAGCCGAUGGACAAAUAUGGAAAUCAAAAUCAGGAUGCAAAUCAAGAAUCGAAGAAGCUUGGGAUUAGGAGACCCGUUUUAUUUUUGCAUUUCAACAUUGUAUUUAUUUUUGGGUAUAAGCCCUUGUUGUCUUUUACCUUACUUAUUUUGUGUGGUUAUAUGCUUAGUUUAGAACAGGUACGAAAGAAAGAAAAUGGGUCAAAAAUCCAAAACAGGUGGAUCCAAAAUUCCGGUCAAGGCGAACAGAACCCGGAUCUGGACCCAAAUCUCUUUCCCUCUCUCUAUUCCUUUUUCCCUGUUUUACUUUAUUUAGCUUA